rnacentral:rRNA from 1 species
UGGGGAAUCUUAGACAAUGGGCGCAAGCCUGAUCUAGCCAUGCCGCGUGGGUGAUGAAGGCCUUAGGGUCGUAAAGCCCUUUCGCCGGGGAAGAUAAUGACGGUACCCGGUAAAGAAACCCCGGCUAACUCCGUGCCAGCAGCCGCGGUAAUACGGAGGGGGUUAGCGUUGUUCGGAAUGACUGGGCGUAAAGCGCGCGUAGGCGGAUCAGAAAGUUGGGGGUGAAAUCCCGGGGCUCAACCCCGGAAUGGCCUUCAAGACUCCUGGUCUUGAGUUCGAGAGAGGUGAGUGGAAUUCCGAGUGUAGAGGUGAAAUUCGUAGAUAUUCGGAGGAACACCAGUGGCGAAGGCGGCUCACUGGCUCGACACUGACGCUGAGGUGCGAAAGCGUGGGGAGCAAACAGG